rnacentral:rRNA from 1 species
UAGGGAAUCUUCCGCAAUGGGCGAAAGCUUGACGGAGCAACGCCGCGUGAGUGAUGAAGGUCUUCGGAUCGUAAAACUCUGUUAUUAGGGAAGAACAAACGUGUAAGUAACUAUGCACGUCUUGACGGUACCUAAUCAGAAAGCCACGGCUAACUACGUGCCAGCAGCCGCGGUAAUACGUAGGUGGCAAGCGUUAUCCGGAAUUAUUGGGCGUAAAGCGCGCGUAGGCGGUUUUUUAAGUCUGAUGUGAAAGCCCACGGCUCAACCGUGGAGGGUCAUUGGAAACUGGAAAACUUGAGUGCAGAAGAGGAAAGUGGAAUUCCAUGUGUAGCGGUGAAAUGCGCAGAGAUAUGGAGGAACACCAGUGGCGAAGGCGACUUUCUGGUCUGUAACUGACGCUGAUGUGCGAAAGCGUGGGGAUCAAACAGG